AUUGAACGCUGGCGGCGGGCCUAACACAUGCAAGUCGAACGGUAACAGGAAACAGCUUGCUGUUUCGCUGACGAGUGGCUGACGGGUGAGUAAUGUCUGGGAAACUGCCUGAUGGAGGGGGAUAACUACUGGAAACGGUAGCUAAUACCGCAUAACGUCGCAAGACCAAAGAGGGGGACCUUCGGGCCUCUUGCCAUCGGAUGUGCCCAGAUGGGAUUAGCUAGUAGGUGGGGUAACGGCUCACCUAGGCGACGAUCCCUAGCUGGCCUGAGAGGAUGACCAGCCACCCAGGAACUGAGACACGGUCCAGACUCCUACGGGAGGCAGCAGUGGGGAAUAUUGCACAAGGGGCGCAAGCCUGGUGCAGCCAUGCCGCGUGUAUGAAGAAGGCCUUCGGGUUGUAAAGUACUUUCAGCGGGGAGGAAGGGAGUAAAGUCAAUACCUUUGCUCAUUGACGUUACCCGCAGAAGAAGCACCGGCUAACUCCGUGCCAGCCGCCGCAGUAA
rnacentral:rRNA from 1 species